CCCUCUCUUUCGUAAUCGUCUCGAGAAAGUCAGAAUAUAUAUAUAUAUAUUACUCUUCAUUUCUUAGGACUUUGAAAGAAGAAAAAAAAACUGUCAAUCAGUAAUCGAAAAUUCUUCGUAAAUUCGAUAAUAAAAAUGAGCAUACGAAUGAUAAAAGUAAAUAGUUAGUUUCUUUUAUGUAUAUAUUCUUUACGUAUAUGAGACGUAAAAAUCUAAUAUUCUGAUUUAAAUGAUACACCCUAUAUAUAUGUGGAUGCGUGCGUGCGUAUGUACGUACGUAUGUAUGCAUGAUUUUUUAUUUUCUUGUGUAAACGAACGAUUCAAUAGACAAAUAUCUUAUAUACAUAAAUUAACCAUUUUAUAUAUAAAAUUGUAGGUAUUAUCGAAAGAAAAGAUCGCAAAUGGUCGAUAACGAGUCAGGCAUAUAAAACACGUUUCAGUUUGUUCCGUUUGAAAAUAAUAGAUACAUACAUACAUACGUAACGUCAAUCGUUAAGCUCAUAACGAAAGUGAAAAGAAGCCGUAUAUGUGUUUGUAUACGUGUUUCAUCGAGUCAAUGGUGUCGGUCGUGCAUGUUUGACGUUACGUUAAGAGACAUCAGAUACAUAUAUAUAUAUAUAUAUUUAUUACAAUUAUAUUUGUAUAUAUAUAUAUAUAUUUACAUACAUAAUAUCUCGGAUAUAAAAAUAAAUAUAUAUUAGAUUAAAAUUAAGAUAAAUGGCCAAAGAAACAAACUUUUCUCUCUUUCUUUCCCUCUAUAUAACCCUCUCCCUCUCUCUCUCUCUCUCUCUACCUUAUCACGUCGGUCUUGUAGCAGACGACGGUACGUCUAUCGAGCCCUUGGCCAAUGGAGAAGGUGCGCAGGAAAUCGGCAAAACGAUCCUGCACGAGUCGAUGUAUGAGAUAUCGUCGAUAGUUGUUUACAGGAGGAAACACGAGGACCCUGUAAAAGCGAAAGGAUCGAUCGGUGUACUCUCUUUGAUCGCGGAUCGUGGAAAGCGCAAGAGCUCGGAAUUUUAAGUUGACCACCGACCUGCACGAUAUGAUGGACCGAGGAACUCGUAGAAGAAGAGGAGGAGAAAAAAAGGAAGAGAAGGAGAAGGAGAAUAGAAGAAAGAGAAUGAGGGAAGAAGAGGGAGAGGAAGUUAACUCACGUUUUACAUUCACGUCGUACUCCACAUCUUCGGUGAAGAGGCUACCUUGCAGGCUCAUUUAUCAAAACGAUGACGGAGUCGCUUCAACGACGGUACAUCAACGACGACGACGCACGAAACGAUACCGAGAUUUUCUUUUAUCGCGUCGAAAGUACAUCGAGAAACGUCCAACUCGCGUAAGCGAUCUUCGUACACAUUUAUCUUCUACCACUCGUUUUCAAUCGGUGGCGGCGGCGGUAGCAGCGGCGGCUAGACUCGUGCAGAAAAAGUACAAAGGUUUUUCUAUUCUUUUUUAGUUACGUAUGUACGCCGUUGUUGACGGGAGCGCUUAUAUCGUUAUCGACGGUCGCGCGCUCUGUCGGCAAAGUUUCGCGUCUUGAAAACGAAAUGAGACUAGCAGCGCCAUUCGGUAGAAGCGACGGCAGACGAUUAUAAUUCUAUUUAUAAACUUUGUCUUUUGGAUGUUUACUAUUGAAAUCUUUGAUCGCUGAUUGGUUCAUUCGACGGUUCGUCUAAAUCGAGCUGCGAUUGGCUCCUGACGACACAAUGUAUUUUUUCGGCGGUAUUUUUUUUUAUAGAAAAUUUUUAAAUGUCUACUUUUUUUUUUUUUUUUUUUUUUU